AGGGUUUGAUCCUGGCUCAGAAUCAACGCUGGCGGCGUGCCUAACACAUGCAAGUCGAACGCGGUUACCCCGCAAGGGGUAACUGAGUGGCGAACGGGUGAGUAACACGUGGGUGACCUACCUUCGAGUGGGGGAUAACGUCCCGAAAGGGACGCUAAUACCGCAUAACAUCCUGUCCUUGAACGGAUGGAGAUCAAAGCCGGGGAUCGCAAGACCUGGCGUUUGAAGAGGGGCCCGCGUCUGAUUAGCUAGUUGGUGAGGUAACGGCUCACCAAGGCGACGAUCAGUAUCCGGCCUGAGAGGGCGGACGGACACACUGGGACUGAGACACGGCCCAGACUCCUACGGGAGGCAGCAGUGGGGAAUUGUUCGCAAUGGGCGCAAGCCUGACGACGCAACGCCGCGUGGAGGAUGAAGGUCUUCGGAUUGUAAACUCCUGUUGCCCGGGACGAAAAGCUUCAACCUAAUACGUUGAAGUCUGACGGUACCGGGUGAGGAAGCCCCGGCUAACUCUGUGCCAGCAGCCGCGGUAAUACAGAGGGGGCAAGCGUUGUUCGGAAUUACUGGGCGUAAAGGGCGCGUAGGUGGCCUGCUAAGUCGAACGUGAAAUCCCUGGGCUCAACCCAGGAACUGCGUCCGAUACUGGUUGGCUUGAAUCCGGGAGAGGGAUGUGGAAUUCCAGGUGUAGCGGUGAAAUGCGUAGAUAUCUGGAGGAACACCGGUGGCGAAGGCGACAUCCUGGACCGGUAUUGACGCUGAGGCGCGAAAGCCAGGGGAGCAAACGGGAUUAGAUACCCCGGUAGUCCUGGCCCUAAACGAUGAAUGCUUGGUGUGGCGGGUAUCGAUCCCUGCCGUGCCGAAGCUAACGCAUUAAGCAUUCCGCCUGGGGAGUACGGUCG
rnacentral:rRNA from 1 species